AUGACAAGCAAGUGCCCCAUUACAGAGAUACAGUUCCAGCCUUCCUGUGGGGUUGAUUGGUCUGCAAGUAAAUGUUACAAUGAUGUUAACAACGUUGAGAGAGGUGGAGAUUUGAAGGUGAAGAACAAACUUUGCAGCAGCAGUGCAAGCCAACAGAGCUGUGGUUUUUCGAAUCAACAGUUUCCUAACAUGGGGUGCUGCAAACCAAGAUACUGA
rnacentral:lncRNA from 1 species